GUGCAGUAUGUACAGUAGCAGUCAACAGCAAAUAUAAUUUAUUGGCAUCAAAAUGUAAAUUCUUCCAUAAAAUAGCAAUUAUUUCAAAACAAAUAGUUGUAUUGUAAACAGACGAGUCUACAAUUCAUUAUGACAAUAAUCAUGUGAAGUAUGUACAGUAGCAGUAUACAGGUCAGAAUGAUAAAACUUCAAUGACAUCAUAGGAACCAAUGGAUUCAUAUGAGUACAAAGGAAUUACUAAGUGUAUUGAGAGUGUUGACCGAGAGGGCCUUUGAUGUUGGAGUAUAGCAUUACCCACGCUGUGCCUUCCCCUGUGUUCUUACAUAACUCUAUGAUUGGUUUGGUAGUAGAUCAACUGGAAUGUUUGGUUUGGGAGUAGAUAUGGCACUAAAUCAUGUACAGUACAUUUGACAUUAAAUAAACCAUUCUUAAGCAUACAGACACUUCUGUUUUUGCUGCAAAAUACAUAAUGACUCAAAUAUAGGUGGAUUCACAAAUAACAAAAAUGCUUGGAACCACAAUAAACCAUAAAGAUUAACAAAUGUAUCUUAAUGUAAAUCAAGCCUGCUUUCUCACACAUUGUACAUUAAUUUAAUAAUUUAAACAUACAAAUAUAGUAGGUAGUUGUUGUGUAAUUGUUAGAUUAUUUGUUAAUAUUGCUGCACGGUCGGAACUAGAAGCACAAGUAUCUUACUGUAAAUCAAGCCUACUUUCUCAUAUUGUACAUUAGUUGAAUAAUUUAAAAUAUAGUAAUAUGUUAUUGAAAUAGGUUUGAGGUACAAGCAUCACUGUAGAAAAUGUCCCAAAUAAUAAAUAUAGCUUUAUUAUUAAAGCUAAAUGGGUAGUGUGGUGUUUAAAAACUUCUCAUGCAUGGUUGGGACUACAGUAUGUUGUCCUCAAGCCAAAAUACAGGUAGUUUUAUGAUAGAUGUGUGUGGUACUGCACUUUGUCACCGACAUAACCAUUGUUGGUUUCGUUCAUUUCAACUUUUAAUAAGAAAAAUAUUAUAUUUUAUUCCCCAUCUUGUUAUUGGUGUUUUAAUAAUCAAAUAGCCAUAGGGAAAUUAUUGAUCCAAAUAAUUAUUGAAUGCACACACUGUACACUCAGACAAACAAAUCAACAGUGAGAGAGCCAUCUAUUGCUAAUAAACAAAGCAAACAGUAUUUAUCAUGUACACAUACUGCACAGAGGGCUAUUUCAUUUCCCUGUUAUGAUAUCUAACAGUACAUAAGGUAUCAUGUACACCAUACAUGCAAAUGACCAGGGAUAAGGUACCCAUGUCACCCUGAGAAAUGGUGUUCCUCUGUGUUGCUGUUCUAAUAAAUCAUGGGAUGCAUGCUAAUGAUUUUCACUAUUUGUCGUAUAGUACAGUUACUUCAACAGUACUGUAUGUAUGAGAACUGAAAAGAGCAGUUAGAGAGACUAUCUAUAAUGGCACAUUGUGUAUGUAGCUGUAUUAUUUGUGUAUAUCAAUAUAUUCACUAUCCAUCACGAUCUGAUGAGCUAUUAGGACAUUAUCAUUACUAUUAGUUGAGUAUUCAUUUUAAAACAGAUUAACACCCAAUGUAAUGAUAAUAGCUAAGGGGUCAACUGACAUUUUUGUUUGUCCAGGGAUCUCCAGGCCUAAUAAGGGAUACAUUAUUAGAAAACGUUUGACACAGAGAAGGUUGUGGGGCUUCACUGACCAUGUCUGAACAGGCCUAGUCACCCUGACUGACCCCAACUGGUCCAGAUGAUUGACAGGGAGGGGUGGUCAGUUCCUUCGGACGUCUGAGUAGACGGUGGAUGCAGCAUCAGGGGCAGGCUUAUGGGCAGGUUUUUUCACCUGGGUGUACUGGGAUUGGUGGGCCUGGUAGGUGGGUUAGGUCGGCUGACCGGGCCGGUUGUUGACUCUGACCGUAGCGUACUCUGUGGAGGAAAUACCCAGGUUCCCCAGCUGAACUGACCCACCAUCCCUCUUCUGGAAUUGUGUGAUGUCUGCAUAGUUCAGCUCCUAGGAGGAGAGAGGAGAGACAUGUCUUAGUUCAGUCCUGACCAUGACCUGACAAGGACAAACUCAGGGACCUUUUUGUACUGCAUCACAUCUAGAGCUAUAAGCACCAGAGCAGUGGAUAAUUACAAACACAGAGUUAGUUCAGUCAACUUUUUUUGGUUAUUUCUCGUACAACUUCUUGAGGGCAGGGAACUUGUUACAUCCCCUCAAACUGUGUGGUCGUUACUAGCCUUGUAUGCCAGGAGUGAAGGUGUGUCACACAGCUAGUGAACCAGUUACCAGACUAGGCCAUUAUGAGCAGGUUGUCAUGUUUCUAUUAUUAUCUUGAAAAAGGUCAGUGUUGAUUACGAAGAUAGUUCCUCAUAUCUUUUAUAUUUCUUUCGGUUGAGUUUUAGAAGAGAUUAAAUUGCAGCCAAAUGGACACAUUAGGGCUCAUGGCACUUGACAGGCAUACAUUUGUCAUCGCUGAGUAGCCAAGGCAACAGUCUGUUGUAAAUACUUGACAAGAAAAGUUGUGUGUGCAAGCUCAAUAUAAUAUUCUCUUCCUGGAGCAAAUUCCCUCAGCCUUACAGUAAUGCAAUGCAUACUACCCCUGCCUGAAAGUGGGAUUAUCUCUAUGAUGUGCGGAUAUGGAUAUACAGUGCCUUGCGAAAGUAUUCGGCCCCCUUGAACUUUGCGACCUUUUGCCACAUUUCAGGCUUCAAACAUAAAGAUAUAAAACUGUAUUUUUUUGUGAAGAAUCAACAACAAGUGGGACACAAUCUUGAAGUGGAACGACAUUUAUUGGAUAUUUCAAACUUUUUUAACAAAUCAAAAACUGAAAAAUUGGGCGUGCAAAAUGUGGCAAAAGGUCGCAAAGUUCAAGGAGGCCGAAUACUUUCGCAAGGCACUGUAUACACAUGGUUAAAUGUCAGACUGUGGCUUAGCAGGAACAAUGCCAGGAGAUAUACUGUAGCAGACCAGGAGCUUGGCUCUGGUGCCAUUUAAGCUAUUACUGUAUAUUAUCUUAUUGUUAUUUUAUAACUACUAUACUGACCCAUCUUCUUCUACAUUGUGUGAUGAGAUAUUUAUAUGUGAUGAUCAUUAUAGUCUUAUAAAACAAUAGAAUCUACUAUUCUGAUCAUGAUAUCUGAUAGCCAGACAAGAUAUGAUAUCGUACAUGUCGCCCAGAGUGCAGCUCUUUCUACACAAAAUGGCAGUAUCAAAGGCAGGUCAGUUAAUUAUCUGUGCACCUGAAUGAUGUCAAUACUGUAAAUAAAGGAAAUAAACUCAGAAAAAAAAAGAAACGUCCUCUCACUGUCAACUGCGUUUAUUUUCCACAGACAUGUGACUAACAGAAAUGGAAUAAUUAGUCCUGAACAAAAGGGGGGGGGGGGUCAAAAUCAAAAGUAAGUCAGUAUCAGGUGUGGCCAACAGCUGCAUUAACUACUGCAGUGCAUCUCCUCCUCAUUGCCAGUUCUUGCUGUGAGAUGUUACCUCACUCUUCCACCAAAUCACCUGUAAGUUACCGGACAUUUCUGGGGAAUGGCCCUAGCCCUCACCCUCCGAUCUAACAGAUCCCAGACAUGCCUAAUGGGAUUGAGAUCCGGGAUCUUCGCAGGCCAUGGCCUUGCAGGAAAUCAUGCACAGAACGAGCAGUAUGGCUGGUGGCAUUCUCAUGCUGGAGGGCCAUGUCAGGAUGAGCCUGCAGGAAGGGUACCACAUGAGGGAGGAGGAUGUCUUCCCUGUAACGGACAGUGUUGAGAUAGCCUGCAAUGACAAGAAGCUCAGUCCGAUGAUGCUCUGACACACUGCCCCAGACCAUGACGGACCCUCCACCUCCAAACCGAUCCCGCUCCAGAGUACAGGCCUCGGUGUAACGCUCAUUACAUCGAAGAUAAACAUGAAUCCGACAAUCACCCCUGGUGAGACAAAACCGUGACUCGUCAGUGAAGAGCAGUUUUUGCCAGGCCUGUCUGGUCGAGCGACAGUGGGUUUGUGGCCAUAGACUACGUUGUUUCCGGUGAUGUCUGGUGAGGACAUGCCUUACAACAGGCCUACAAGCCCUCAGUCUAGCCUCUCUCAGCCAAUUGCAGACAGUCUGAGCACUGAUGGAGGGAUUGUGCGUUCCUGGUGUAACUCAGGCAGUUGUUGCCAUCCUGUACCUGUCCCGCAGGUGUGAUGUUCGGAUGUACCAAUCCUGUGUAGGUGUUGUUACACGUGGUCUGCCACUGCGAGGACGAUCAGCUGUCCAUCCUGUCUCCCUGUAGCGCUGUCUUAGGCGUCUCACAGUACAGACAUUGAAAUGUAUUGCCCUGGCCACAUCUGCAGUCCUCAUGCCUCCUUGCAGCAUGCCUAAGGCAUGUUCAUGCAGAUGAGCAGGGACCCUGGGCAUCUUUCCUUUUGUGUUUUUCAGAGUCAGUUGAAAGGCCUCUUUAGUGUCCUAAGUUUUCAUAACUGUGACCUUAAUUGCCUAACGUCUGUACACUGUUAGUGUCUUAACGACCAUUCCACAGGUGCAUGUUCAUUAAUUGAUUAUGGUUCGUUGAACAAGCAUUGGAAACCGUAUUUAAACCCUUUACAAUGAAGAUAUGUGAAGUUAUUUGGAUUUUCACUAAUUAUCUUUGAAAGACAGGGUCCUGAAAAAGGGCUGUUUCUUUUUUAGCUGAGUUUAUUAUACAUUGGCAUGACAUUCAUGUGAGUUAAACAAAUACCCUAUCAAAGCUAUGAAAACAGAAAACAAUGACAGUUAAAUGCAUGACAUGACAAUGCACAGUACCUGGUUUCCUCCUUUCCCCCCUCCAUUAGUAGAGCUUUCACCUGCUGGGAUGACACACAAAUAGCACUUAGAAAUGGGAUUGCACUUUACAGUAGAGUAGGUUUCACAAUCAUGAAGCACUAAUCAACAUUGACUGCUAAUACUCACACCUUCAAUCAAAGCAUUGCCUUAGAUUACAGGCAUGAUGGUUAGUUCGUUUUUGUGUCUGUAGAAGAUUAUGAUAAUCAGGAGCAGAGAUAGGUUUGUUUUCCCAAACAGACAGGGGAAGUUAAGUAUUUACACAGCUGGGAACUAGAGAGAUGGAGAUCAGUUGACUAUUAGACAAAGUAGAAAUAUAUGUAUACCAAAAGUUCAUCAAAUUGCCUUUUCUGGAAACAGAAAUGUUUGAUUCAUUUACAAAAUGGAUGCCUGUGAUAGCAAACACACACACACAACUUAUACUUACUGUUGCCAACUGUCCUUCCACUGGAAGUUAUUUUCUUGAAGUAGCUAAUUGAAAAUAAGUAGCAGUCAGUAUCUUUGGGAAAUUACUAUUGUUAUGUUCAG
ensembl:lncRNA